rnacentral:rRNA from 1 species
GCGCGCAAACUUUCCAAUGCACGCAAGUGUGAGAAGGGAAUUCCGAGUGCUCAAGCAUUGCUUGGGCUUUUGCUAAGUGUGAAUAGCUUGGCGAAUAAGGGGUGGGUAAGACUGGUGCCAGCCGCCGCGGUAACCCCAGCGCCCCGAGUGGGAAUCACGCUUAUUGGGUCUAAAGCGUUCGUAGCAGGCUUUGUAAAUCUCUUGUGAAAUCGGCAGGCUUAACUUGUCGGCGUGCAGGAGACACUGCAGGGCUCGAGAUCGGGAGAGGUCAGAAGUAUUCCUUGGGUACCGGUAAAAUGGGUUAAUCCAAGGAGGACUACCAAUGGCGAAGGCAUCUGGCCAGAACGAUUCUGACUGUGAGGAACGAAAGCUAGGGGAGCAAAACGGAUUAGAUACCCGAGUAGUCCUAGCCGUAAACGCUGUGAGCAAGGUAUUGCGCAUCCCACGAGGAUGCGCAGUGUCGAAAUGAAGAUGUUAAGCUCACCACCAGGGAAGUACGGUCGACG